GAAUGAGAGGGUCCAUAGGAGGAGGGACUUAAUUUCUUCUCUGAUGAGACUGGAGCACCAGCAAGAAUUUGACUCUGUAGUCUGAGAGAUUAUUUUCAGUAUGAUGUUCUGAGUUCCCUGAAUCCACAGCUGGAACACUGAGCCACCAUCAGGAACACUGCACCUGGACCAGUUGUCUUAAGGGCAUUAAAUACGAAUUUCACUUCUUUGGCUUAUAAAACCCCACCAUGCUCUAGCUUCCUUCCAACAUCCACCCUUCAUUCCCCACCAUCUCAGCUUCUCAAUGAAUCCUUCCUCUCCUUGAUUUUCCAAGCCUACCUAUGUCUUAUGAUCACCUACACACACACACACACACACACACACACACACACACACCUGGCUUCGAAGGGAUCAGAUUAUGUUUUUUAAGGCUGAACUGUUUCUAUGGUUUUCUCUGUAAACCCUGCUUCCCAGCUACUUUCUCUGGCAAUUAACUGACCAAAGGUUAAAGAGUCCAGAGUGUAAAGCUUGCACCCCUGGUAGUCCUCAGGUCUGGUGCUGAUGGGCUCAGAGCCAUGGGGUGUGUGAGUAGCCGGCCAGGCCUUGCUGAGGCUGACUUGUCUUGUCUCUGCAGUAUGUGCCCACAAAACCGGAAGAGGGUAAGAUAUUCUAGAUGUUGAGUUGCAGAUGGCUGUGAGCUGACUUAGAGUUGUUGGAAAACAAGCGAAGGUCCUCUGCAAAGGCAACUAGUGCUCUCAAACCCUGAGCGAUCUCUCUAGUUCUUGCUCUGAAGGUUUUCUGAUGUCCUGUUGAUUACUGUCUGCUCCACCAGCCUGUUCCACAGGAAUCAGUCUUAUGAUUGUGUAGCAUCACAACACCAAAAAUAGUUUAAUCUCUUACUGGAUGCCCUUAAUGAUUUUUACAAAUGAUAAAAAUUGACUAUAUUUGUUUUUGAAUAUUGACAGUGCCUCUGGAACUAAACUCAAUCAGCUAGUUCCUUUCACUUCUAUCCAUCUCACAAACUCACACAGUAUAUUCUUUUUUGUCCUCAGUGUACCAUGUAUUGCUGUAAGCACCAGCAUUGUUAAGGCAAGCAAAAAGAGAUUUACAAAACCUUCAGAAUUUGAAAUUUACAUUCACUCAUAGCUUGUACUACACAUCAUUAAUUCCACCUUUCAGGAGAGAGAAGGUCUCUUUACUGUCCAAACCUCCCUUAUCUACAGGGUGAGUUUUAGGACAGCUUCAGUUUGUGGUGACACUCUGUCUCAAAUUAACCAAACAACAACAACCCAACCACACUCACACACAAACACGUGCAUGGAACACACACACACACACACACACACACACACUGAGAGAGAGAGAGAGAGAGAGAGAGAGAGAGAGAGCGAGAGAGAGCACUGUCCAGUUGCUACCCUUCUCAUUCCUAAAGUGACCUUUCAGUGUAAUUGUAUUUUAACCUCAACUUCCUCAGUCCUUCCAGUGUGGAGGCUUCUGUUAAACCUGCAGCAAUUGGCAACUGACAGCAGACCAGUUUCUGCUUGCUGGUGGGGAAAUUGGGUGGUGUUGUUUUGUUAUUCUGUACUCCCUUAGCCGACCUCCCUAAGCCCUGAGAAGAUUCCAUUCGCUUCCUUCAGACGACUUUAGUGUUUUUAAGUCAUACUCCACAAAGUAAGAAACCAUUUGUUCUGACUGCAGCAUUUAGGAUCAUGUUGAAUAGGUACCAGCAGAAUGUACGCUGUUUAAGAAGUAGAUCUGUGGGUUAGGAUUAGCUGUAAUUUUAUCUGCUGAGUGAGUGAGUGUUUGCUUCAUGUCCUUGCACCUUUUGCCUUCUGUGGUACUUUUAUUCCUAUAGACUAAAGGGUUUUAGUUUGUGUUGGCUCCUUCUGCGAUUUCAGUGUCCAAUACCUCUAGACCUAUACUGUAAGUGUGACCAGAUUAACAGGGCUGUUGAUUUUCCAUGGAGAUGCUUGUUUACAUUUUUACUUAAUCCACAUCUUAUGUGCAAGAGGAGGGAGAGCAGCUUGCUGGCUCUGCAUCAGCACACAGUGACCCAGAGUGAAGGUUCUCUCUGUUACUGAUUCGAAUUCCUGAAUCACCAUGACAUUUUGCAUGAGCUAUCCUCCACUGUCUCGGGCAUUUGAGUACUCCUUUCCCAGUUGGUGACUCUGUUUGGGAAGAUCCAGGAGGUAUGCCCUUGCUGGAGAAAGAAUGUCAGCGGGGCUGGGCUUUGAGGUUUUAGUGCUCUGCACCACUCCCUGUGCACUCUCUGCUUUGUACUUGUGAUUCUAGAUGUCAUACCUCAGCCUCCUCCUCCUUCCGCCAUGCCCUGUAGUCAUGGAACUUAACCUCUGCUAACACAUGUUCUCUGAAAUAGAAUCACUAAUGUCCUACUUGUUUUAUAGUUUGCUGUGCUCAUGGCAUUUCUGUCACAGAAAUACAAAGGUAACAAAUGCAGAAGGUGACAUAAUGGAGUGGACUCUUGCUGUGUGACACCUCAUGAUGCCAGGUUGUUUCUUGUUUUGGGAAAUAUGUAAGAAUUCCAGUGCUCUAAGAAGAGUUUAAUGGGCUAUACUGGCAGGCACUUGGGAGUCAGGAGUGCCAAGAGGUAUUCAGACUGUGGAAGCCCAGGAGAAGGGGAUUCAGGAGGAAAAAAUGUUUGUAACUGGUCUAGGAUAAUUCCUACAAAGCUUUUACAAAAAUGUGGCUUCCUUUCUGCCCACAUCCUAAAAACUUAUCUGAGGCUAAAUUUAAAAGUAAUAAACAAAUUUCUUUGAUGAAAAUUUGAAGAGGGCCCAGUAUGGCCUCGGUCUUACUGUGGUUAUAAGUCUUCAAUGAAAAAGAACAAAUGGGGCAAAAAGAAAUACAAAAUGUAGAGUUGGGAAAGAAAAAGACACUGGGAAGAUUAAUAUUAUAGCCAAUGCCUAUACCAGAAGAGAGCCUGAAAUUGCUUGGAGAUUAGCACCUUAAUAAGAGGCCAUGUCUCCUCAGGUGAAGACAUCACUCAACUAACUUAGUAAUCUGUGGUAGAAAGUGACUUACUUAGAGUUUUCCUGCUAUUAACAGACACCAUGACCAAAGCAACUCUUAUAAGAAGAACAUUUAUUUGGGUUUGCCUUCAAGUUCAGCAGUUUGGUUCAUUAUCAUCAAGGUAGGGGCAUGGUAGCAUCUAGGCAGACAUGUUGCAGGAGGAGCUGGGAGUUCUACAUCAUCAUCUGAAGGUUGCUACUAGAAAACUGAUUUUCAUGCAGCUAGGACAAGGAACAUAAGGGUCACAUCUACAGUGACACACUUCUUCCAUCAAGGCUACACCUAUCCAAUGAGGGCACAUCUUUAAAUAGCCCCACUCCCUGGGCUGAGCAUAUUUAAAUCACCACAUGAACAUUAGCUAUUUUCAGUUCCUGGUAUAACUUUUGAUCAGAAGCUGCUGCUACUGUGGUUCAUGGGGCCCAGGUCUUUGUAGAAAUCAAGCAUCUUCUCAUGUACUCUCAUCAGUCACUGGAAGUAAGGAAGCUCAAGAAAGGACUGCUGUGUGGACUGAGACAGCUGAGCAAGUCUGCUUUGGGAAGGACCUCCUCUGUCACAGGACAUCCACUGUUUAAGCACCACCACUACCUCAGGAAGUCCACUGUCUGUGUGUCAACUCCACUGUUACAGGACUUCAAGUUUCUCAGCAUCUCAACUAUCACAGGAUUUCUACUGUGCAGGAGCUCAAGUGUCUUACAACGUCCAAUGUUAUAGGACCAUCAAUGUCACAAGAACUCCUCUGUCCAAGGAACUGCACAGUCCAAACAACACUAUGAUUGCAGGACAUUCACUGUGGAAACACCUCCACUAUGGCAGGGCCUCCACUGUCCAUACAUCAACUCCACUGUCGCAGAUCCCCCAUUGCUGCAGACCUCCACUGUCACAGGACCUCCACUGUAGGAGCACUACAACUGUCGCAGGAUCUCCAGUGUCUUAUAACCUGCUCUAUCCCAGGACUUCCACUGUUGUAGCAUUACCAUGGUCACAGCAACUACACUGUUUCAGGACAUCAAGUGAAGCUGGACCUCCAAUGAUGCUCCAACUUCUCUGUCACAGGAUCUCUACAGUUACAGGAAUACUCCUGUAUCAGCAAUUCCAAUUGCUGGACCUCAGUUGUCACAUGACCUCCACUGUAGCCGAACCUUCAAUUUUGCAGCACCUCCACUAGAGGUAGAAUGACCUCCCCUAUCACAGUGCCUCCACUUUCAAAGGACCUUCACUGUCACAGAACCUGCACAAUUUCAGUGCCUCCGCUGUUGCAGGACCUACCUUUUCACAGGAUCUGCACUGUUGCAACAACUCUAAUUGCACGUUUACAAAGGCAUUACUGGUUAUUAGAUUUGAGGCUGAAUGGAAUGUGAUGUUACUUUCGUAAACAUAAGAAUGUGUUCUGUGCGUCUUGUGAUUAAUGGCCACUUGUGCUAGGACCAGUAACUUAUGGAAAGAUUCCUUGAGGUCAUAGCACUCUCCACCUCACCUUGUGGAAACUGGUGUUUUUAGAGUGUGAUAAACUUCAGGUGAAGGGAUGCAGUCAGCAAGACCACGCUCUAGAGUGGGAUACACAGCAGUCAUAUUGAGUCCUUGCUGGGAAGAAAAGAAAUCCAGAAGAGGGAGGAGGCUUGGGUUAGAGGAAGAAUCAUAAAAUAUUUAGAGAAUAUAAGAAGGUAAGAAUUAUGGGGAACUGGAAAACAGAGCCAGAGGAAGAAUGAGCACAGAGCAAACUGGGAUGGACAAAGCACAAAUGUACCUGGGUUGUGCCUUCUGCAUGUUCUCUGGACGAUCGCCUUGUGCCUCAUUUCUGGGAGAACACUCUCUUCUCCCCAUAUAAAGUUUCUUUCUUGAAAGAAAGCAGCAACACAACUUCAUCAGUGAAUUUCCCCAUUGAAAUUUGUUCGUUCUUUCAAAGCCUCUGGGAAGGCCCUAGCUGGGGAAAGUCCUCUCAGCUGAGAAACAGCAGGAAAGUAGGUUGUCCUCUGUGUUCUCAUUGCGACUGCUCUUCUAAGUGUGGUUGAUUGUUGAUUGAAGACACAGGGCACUUCUAGCAUGUAUGUAUGCUUUAUUCAGUGUGGGUGGCAUUGGGAGUAUCCUGAAAAGAAGGGUAGGCGCCUCUGCCUCUUUGACUAGGUGAUGAUCAAAGUCAGACACUCGACCAUUGGAAGAUGAGACCAAUGUGUCUACGGUGUACUCACUUCUAUUCCUCUUUAGUCCUAGAGGGAAAUAAGUGCCAUCAGCAAGGGUGGGGAAUGGGGCCCUAACUGGACAAACUUGCUGAGCCUGGGUUAUGCAGCCAUGCCGGUGAAUAGCUUCCCCUUACAUUAAGUAGUAAGAUGCCAUGCUCUGGUUGUACCUUCCCUGAUACAGUGAAUCUAUAAUCUCUUGGCCUCAAAACCCAAUAUAUUACAUUGCUUUCACAAGUGGAGUAUCUGGCAUGAGAGGGAUCAUUUCCUCAUAGGGAUUUGGGAACCACUUACAGUCUUCAUUGAGCAUGGGUGUGUCAUCACCUAUGUGACUGUUAGCCCAUAUCUGUGAUUCACUGUCAUUAGGAGGCUAAGCUGCCUCUUCUGACAUCCCACAGUGGGCUGGAUACAUACCACUCACAACCUGUCUCCUCAGCACUUGUAUGACAAAAUGUAACCCUACUCCUAAGUCCAUAUGUUGGGGGGGUUGUUUUUUUUGUUUUGUUUUGUUUUGUUUUGUUUUUGGAACAUCCUAAUGUUUUCCUAGGAAGAGAUCAGGUGCACCAUUAGGAUAAGCACCAUGCUGCCAGUUCAGCAUUUGCCCAAGUUUGACUUGCCUUGAAGGCCAAAGUUGAUGAUUUUGACUUUUCCAUUCUUCUCUAACAGAAUAUAAUCUGGUUUCAGGUCACUGUGUACUUUUACAGUGUCCAUAGCCGUAGAUUAAGUCUGCUAAAAUUUACCCAAAUAUUUCCUUGACCCUGUACUCCUCUAAGGGGAAAGACUUUCAAAUGUAUUUGUAAAGCUGUAAAAUUUCAACCAGUUUCAUGAUAAGUUAUUAGACUUGUCUCAGACUCAAUUGGAGAAGCAAGAUGAUGUUGGGGUUGAUGAAAAUCUUCAUUAUAUUUGCCAUGGUCAUGUUUGGCUGGCACCAUUGCUUCUUCUUUGCAUGCACUUUGAUAACCCCUGUAGCAGAACUUCCACUGUCCCAGCACCUGCACUAUCCCAAGAUCUCCACUCUCACCGGACCAAUAUUGCAGUAGGACGUCUGCGGUCAGGCAACUCCACUGUCUCAGACCCUCCAAAUUGCAAGACCUUUACGGGCACUGGAAGUUACUGUCCCUAAACUUCCACUGUUGGAAUACCUCAGCUAUAACAAGGACCCCUACCAUUGCAGAACCCCCUUGUCAUAGCACCUCUACAAUUACAAAGAAGUCCACUGUCAAAGGACCUCCGGUGUCUCAGCCCCUCCACUGUUGCAGGAUCUCUACUGUCUCAGGAUCACUACUGUUGCAGGACCUCCCCUCUCUCAGCAACUCCAAUUUGCAGGAGCUCUCCUAUCAGAGGAUAUCUACAUUUGCUGUACUUCCGGUGUCACAGCACCUCAACUGUUAAAAGAAUUUCCAUACUCACAGGACCGCCUAUGUCUCAGUAACUCCACUGUCCUAGGACCUUUAUGUUAUAGGACCUCUGCUGACACAAGAUGUCCACUGUUGCUAGACUUCCACUGUCAUAACCACUCAACCAUUACAAGGACCGCAAUUUUGGCAUGACCGCCACUGUCCCAUCCCCUCCAGUGUCAUAGGACCUCCACUCUCACAGGAUAAUCCACUGUCUCAGCAAGGCCAAUUUGCAGGACCUCUACUAGGACAGGAUAUCCACUGUAGCUGGACGUACACUGUUGCAGUACCUCAACUGUUGCAGGACCUCCAAUGUUGCAGGACAUGGACCCUCUCAGCUUCUAGAAUUUGCAGGACCUUUACUGGCACAGAAAUUCCACUGUUGCUGGAGCUCCACUGUCAUUUAAAAUGCGUUGUCUCAUGAUAUUCACUGUUGCUGGACCAAUAGUGUAGCAGCACCUCCAUUUUUUCAAAACCCCUCCACUGAUACAGGAUCUCCACUUUUGUAGCAGCUUCACUGUCCAAGCAAACCAACUAUUUCAGGAUCUCCAGUGUCUUAGGGCAUUCACUAAUGCCAGUCCUCCAACGUUGUAGGAUAUUAUCCACUUUCUCAACAGCUACACUUUGGCAGGACCUCUAUUGGCAGAGAAAGUCCACUGUUGCUGGACCUCCACUGUCAGUGCAAAUGCACUCAUUCAGGACCUCUACUUUUCUAAGGACCUCCAAUAUUGCAGGGCCUCAAAUGUCCCAGGACCUCAAGUGAUGCAGCACCUCCUUUUUCCUAUCACCUUUACUGUCCCAGAACCUCCACUUUCCCAGGAACUGUUCUGUUGCAGGGCCUCCAAAGUUAGAAGAACUGCACUGUAUCAAGACCUCAACUGUUGCAGGACCUCCAUCAUUAUAGGAACACAAUAGUUACACUGUCCAUCACCUUCACUCUCUUAGCACCUCCACUCUCACAGGACCUACACUGUUGCAGGAACUCCAAUGUCUAUGCAACUGCACUGUCUCAGGACCUCAGUGAUCCAGAACCUCCAAUGAUGCAGGACCUCCACUGUCGUGGACCUCCACUGUUUCAGGACAUCCACUCUAUCACCACCUAGACUUUUGCAGGACCUCUACUGGCCCAGGAUCUCCAUUGUUGCUGGUCUUACAUUGUCUAAAGACCUCUACUAUCGCAGAAAUGCCACUGUUGUAGAACCUUCACUGUCACAGGGCCUCCACUGUCCAAGAACUCCACUGUUGCAGGGCAUCCACUCUUGCAGCAUGUGCCUUGUCUCAGGACCUCCACUACAUCAGUCAAAUCUCCACUGUAUCAUGACUUCCACUCGUGCAGGUCUUCCAAUGUUGCAUGACCUCCAAUGUGAAAGUAACUCCACUAUCUCAGUGCCUCCACUGUUACAGGACCUACACUGUCAGAGGAUCUGCACUACGGCACCAGCUCCACUGUCACAUUUUUGAAAGCAUUGCUUGUUGUUAGUGUUGAGGCUUCAUGGAGUGUGAUGCUACGUCUGAAAAGUUAAGAAUUUCUUCUUCAGCUCUUAUGAUUAAUGUCCAGAUGUGCUAGAUCAGUAGCGCCUGGAAGACUCAAUGAGCCGAUAGCCUUCGAAGCCUCACUUUGUGGUGUUCUGUUGUCUUUUGGGAAUGCUAAAGUCCAGGUGAAGGCAUGCGGUCAGAAGGAUAACUCUAGUGUGGGGUACACAUGAGUUGUGUUGAGUUCCUGCUAGGAAGGGUAGAAAUCCAGAACUGAAAGAAGGCUUAUGGUGGAGCAAGAAUCAUACAAUGCUUAGAAUAGGUAAAACAGAAACAAUUUUGCAGAAAUGGAAACCAGAGACACAGGAGGAACCAGCACACAUCAAACUGCGUAGGACCAAUCACAAAGGUACCUGCGCUGAGCCUGCCUGCUGCUUGUUCUUUGGAUGUACUCUAGCCUUUAUUUCUCAGGAGAGACACUGUGCUGUCCAAGGAGAGUUUUCUUGCUUGAUUGAGCACAGGAAUACUGCUUGAUUUGGAUAUUCCUAAUUUCUUGGUCCACCCUGUAAAGCAUCUGAGCAUGCUCCUGCUUGGGACAGUCUUGCCCUCUCCUGAAGCCCAGAGGGAUAAUAGGUUGUCUUCUGUGGUUUCAUUGCUGCUUUCGUUCUCCCUGAGGCUGCUUGUUGACUGAAGGCAGAAGACACCCUGGCAUGUAUGUUUUGUCCAGUGUGGUGUCACCUGGAAUGGCCUGAAGAAAAGGCCAGUCCCAGUGGUUCUUCUGAAUCUUCUAUGACUAGAGUUAUGGACAUAGGCAUAAACGAGGCCAUGGGGAAUGACAAGUUCAAUGUGCCAAUGGUGGGUUGGUUUCCACUCCUCUGAAGUCCUAGAUGGAAAGCAGCAUAAUCUUUAAGGGUAGGGAAUGGAGCCCUAACUGGACUCAGUGAGGGAGCCUGGUUGUGAAGCCAGGCACCUGGAUAGCCUGCCCUUUCAGUAAUCCAUUGAACACCAUUGUCCGUUAAUAAUUUUUUUAUUUAAAGAAUCUUUAUUUCUUGGGCUUAGAACUGAAUAUAUUGCAUUACUUCCACAGUUGUAGGGUGUGGCCUGAGAUACCAUUUCCUCAUAGGGAUUUGGGAAACCCUCCCAUUCUUUGAAUUGAGGUUGCAUUAUGAGGUUUGUGACUGUCAGCCUAUAUCUGGGGUUUACUGUGAUUAAGAGAUAAUGAUGAUGGUUGACCAUCAUAAACGUUGACAAAGAGGAGUUCGGGGCAACAGAAGUGUAAGCACCACAGUGGUGCUUCAGAAUUUGCCCUGGUUCAACUCGGGUACUAAGGCGAAAUUCGAUGAUUUUGUUUUUUUCCAUUAAUAACCAAGAUAAAUGCUAUUUGGUUUCAGGUCCCUGUGAAAUAUUGUGUGCCCAGGGCAGUAGUUCAUCACUGCUAAUAUUUGCAAUAUAUUUUACUGACUUGUCCUGCUUUAGGUAGCCAUACUUUUGGAUGUAUUUGUAAAACUGUUGAACUUCAACAAGCUCCAAGACAAGAUAUAAUAUUGUUUUGGUCUCAAUUAUUUGAAGAAACCACGUGAUGUUGGGGUUGUCACCCAUCAUCAUCACUGCCAUGGUCAUUACUGGCUGGCAUUAUUAUUUCUCCAUUACAAGGACUUUGACAGCCACUGUCACAGGACCUAAUCUGUGGUAGAACCUCCACUCUCAGGGCAACUCCACUUUCUCAGGACCUCUAAAUUGCAGGACCUCCCCUGGCAUAGAAUGUACAUUUUUGCAGGACUUUCACUCUUGUAGCAACUCAACUCUUAAAAGACAUCCACUUUAGCAAGAUUUCCAGUGUCUUAGCACUGCCCUUCUUGAAGGACCUCCACUAUUGUAGGACCUCCACUGUUGCAGCACAUCCAUUCUCUCAGCAUCUAGAAUUUUGCAGAAUGUCAACUGGCAUAGAAAGUCCACAGUUGCUGGUUCUUCAAUUUCAUGAUAAAUCCACCGUAUCAGGACCUUCACUGUUGCAGGACCUCCAGUGUUGAAUCACAUACACUGUUUCAGGGCCACCACUGUCACAGGACCUUCUCUGUCACAGGAUCGCCACUCUCUCAGCACUUAUGCAAUCACAGGACCUCCAUUGCUUUGGACCUCCACUCUCGGAGAACCUCCACUGGUCAAGCACAUCCACUGUCUCAGAAACUCCAGUGUCUCGGGACAUUCACUGUUGCAGGAUCUCCCAUGUCUUAGCACACUUAUUUUUGCAGGACCUCCACUCUCGCAGACUCAUCUCUACUGUCUCAGGACCUACACUAUAACUGUUGGACCUCUAAUGUCACAGGACCUCAAAUGACACUGGAUUUCCACUGUCCAAUCACAUUAACUGUCCCAACUCCUUCACUGUCGCAGGACCUACACUGUUGCAGGACCUCCAAUAUCGGACCAAUUUCCUGUCUCAGGGACCUCCAAUGUUGCAUGACCUCCACUGUUAAAAGAUAUCCACAGUUGCAGGAUAGCUAGUAGAGUUUUGCAGGACCUAUAUUGGCCCAGGACCUCCAUUGCUGAUGAUCCUCCACUGUCUCAGAACCUUAACUAACACAGAACCUCCACUGUUGAAGCACCUCCACUGUCCUAGGAUGUCCACUAUUGCAGACAACGUCAGUCUUAAGUACCUCCAUUUUUGAAGGACCUCCAUGGGUGCAGGACCUCCACUCUUAGAGUGCCUCCAUUCUUGUAGCACCUCCACUGUUCCAACCUCAUCUCCACUGUCUCGGGACCUACAUUAUUGCAGGAUCUCAAAUGUUGCUGGACUUCUACUGUUGCAGUACCUCCAGUGUUGCAGGACCUACACCGUAGCAGGAUCUGCACUGUUGCACCAAUUCUACUUUCACAUUUUGUUGACAUUGCUGGUUAUUAGAUUUGAGUCUUAAUGGAAUGGGAUAUUACUUUUGAAAACACAGGAAUUUUUUUCUGCAUCACAUGUGAUUGAUGACCACAUAUUCUAGGACUGAUAUCCCCUGGAAGAUUCCAUGAGCCCUUAGUCCACCAGUCUUCACCUGGUCGGAGGUGUUGUGUUUUGGGAGAAGUUGAAUCCAGGUUAAGGGAUGGGAUCAGCAGGACACAGUUCUGUAGAGUGGGCUACAUAUCAGUCAUAGUGAGUCCCCUCUGGGAUGAGUAGAAAUCCAGAACUGAGAAAAUGCUAUUACAGGACCUCCAUUGUCUAAACACCUCCACUAUUGCAGAACCUCCACUGUCCAUACAUCAACCAGCUCCACUGUCCCAGAGCCUGAGAUGUUGAAGAAUCUCCACUGUCACAGGACCUCCAUUGCUGCAGGACCUCCACUGUCACAGGACCUCCAAUGACUCAGCAACUACACUUUUGUAGGACCAGCAUUGGCACAGGAUAAGCACUGUUGGUAGGCCCUCCACUAGCCUAUAACCUCCACUGUCCCAGAAUUUCCACUGUUGUAGCACUACCAGGGUCAAAGCAACUACAGUGUUUCAGGACAUCAACUGAAGCAGGACCUCUAAUGAUGCUGCAGCUUCACUGUCACAGGAUCUCUACAUUUACAGGAAUAUUCCUGGAUCAGCAAUUACAAUUUUGCAGGACCUCAGUUGUCACAGGACCUCCACUGUAGCCAAACCUUCAAUGGUGCAGCAUCUCCACUGUAGGUAGAAUGACCUCCCCUAUCGCAGUGCCUCCACUUUCAAAGGACCUUCACUGUCACAGAACCUGCACUAUUUCAGUGCCUCCACUGUUACAGGACCUACCUCUUCACAGGAUCUGCACUGGUGCAGCAACUCUAAUUACACUUUUUCAAAGGCAUUACCAGUUAUUAGAUUUGAGGAUGAAUGGAAUGUAAUGUUACUUUUGAAAACAUAAGAAUUUGUCCUGUAUCACUUGUGAUUAAUGGCCACAUGUGCUAGGACCAGUAACCUAUGGAAGAUUCCCUGAUCUGAUAGCUCUGUAGCCCUCAUCUUGUUGAAGAUGUUGUCCUUAGAGGGUCAUACAGUUCAGGUGAAGGGAUUGGAUCAGCAAGACAACUCUGUGGAGUGGAGUACAAUUAAGUCGUAUUGAGUCCCAGCUGGGAAAAGGAGAAAUCCACAAGAGGGAGAAGGCUUGUGGUGGAGGAAGAACCGUAAAGUACUUAGAGAGUAUAAGGAGGUAAGAAUUGUGAGGAAAUGGAAAACAGAGCCAGAGGAAGAAUGACCACAGAGCAAAGUGGGAAGGGUAAAGCACAAAGGUACCUGGGUUGUGCCUUCUGCUUGUUCUCGGUAUGCUCUCCCUGUGCCUCAUUUAUGAGAGAACACAGUUCUGCCUUAUGUAAGGUUUCUUUCUUGAUGGAAAGGAGCAACACAACUUCAGGGAUUUUCUCAUCUUCUUGGUCCAUCCUUUAAGUCCUCUGGGAAGGCCCCAGCUGGGGAAAGGCCUGCUCUCAGCUGACAAACACCUGGAGAAUAGGUUGUCCUUUAUGUUGUAAUUGGUGCUGCUCUUGUAAGUGUGCCUGCUUGCUGAGUAAAUGCAGGGCAAACCUCUGUCAUGCAUGUAUGCUUUGUCCAGUGUGGCUGUCAUCGGAAGUGUCCUGGAGAGAAGGGCAGUCCAGUGACUCUUCUGCUUCCUUUUGACUAGCCUCAUUAUUAUAGGCAGACAUUAGACCCUUGGAAGAUGAGGAGACCAAUGUGUCUAUGGUGUUCUCACUUCUACUUCUCUUUAGUCCUAAAGGGAAAUCAGUGCCAUCACCAGGGGUAGGGAAUGUUUGCCAUAACUGGACAAACUUGCUGACCUUGGGAUCUGCAGCAAUGCCCAUAGAGAGCCUGCCCUUACAGUAUGCAAUGGGAUGCCACGGUCUGGUAAUAUUUUCUUUGAUGUAUCUAUAAUAUCUUAGGCUCAAAACCCAAAAUAUCCAAUUGCUUCCACAUUAGCAGUGUCUGGCAUGAGGGGGAUCAGUUCCUCCAAGGAUUUGGGAACCAAUUCCAGUCUUCAUUGACCAGGGGUACAUCACUACUUCUAUGACUAUCAGCCCAUAUCUGGGGUUGACUGCCAUUAAGAUGCUACACAGAUCUCCAGCUCUUCGGACACCCAACAGUGGGCAGGAUACGCACCGGCCACAACAUAUCUUCUCACCUUUUUAUAACAACUGAGUCAAAUCCUACAACAGUGAAUUAUAAGCCUACUCCUUAACUCAAAUAUUGUUCUUUGGACCAUUACAACAUUUGCCUAGGCUGUAAUAACAGGCAUCAAAAUUGUGAACACCGUAGUGCCAGCUCAUCAUUUGCUCAGGUUCAACUUUGGUAGGAAAGGCCAAAGUUGAUGAUUUUGACUUUUCCGUUCUUGUGUAACAAAAUAUCACUCGAUUUCAAGUCUCCGUGAACUACACUGUGCCCAUCCCAGUAUAUCGAGUCUGCUAAUAUUUGCCUAAAUAUUUCCCUGACCUUGUCUUCCUCGAGGUGGCAAGACUUCAGAUGAAUUUGUAAAGCUAUAGAAUUUCAACUAGCUCCAUGAGAAGGUAUAGAUGUGUCUCAGACUCAAUUACUUGGUGAAGCAAUAUGAUAUUGGGUGGAUGUAUAUCUUCAUUAUAUUGGCCAUGCUCUUGUCUGACUGUCACCCUUGCUGCUUCUUUGCAUGCACUUUGAUAACCACAGUAGCAGGACUUUCACUGUCCCAGUCACUGCACUAUCCUAAGACCUCCCUUGUCACAGGACCUCCACUGUGGUAGUACCGCAGCUGUCAGGAAACUCCACAGUCUCAUUACCUCCAAACUGCAAGAUCUCUACUGGCACAGGAAUUGUACUGCCCCUGGACUUCCACUGUCACAGCACUUCAACUGUUACAAGGACCUCUACUGUUGUAAGACCUCCUAUAUCACAGCACCUCCACGGUGACAAGGACCUGCAUUGUCAAAAGACCUCCAGUGUCUCAGUCCCUCCACUGAUUCAGGACUUUCAAAUUGCAGGAACUCUACUAGCACAGGUCAUCCACAGUUGCAGUUCCUCAACUGUUAUAAGGACCUCCAUUGUUGCAGAACCUUCAGUGUCCCUGCACCUUCACAGUCUCAGCAACGCCAACUUGCAGGACCUCUACUAGCACAGGAUGUCCACAGUAGGUAUACUUACACUGUUGCAUUACCUCAAUUGUUGCAGGACCUCCGAUGUGGUAGGACAUCCACAUUUUCAGCAGCUAGACUUUUGCAGGACCUCUACUGGCCCAAAAAAAUUCCUCUGUUCUGGACCUCCACUGACAGUGCAAAUGCACUGUCUCAGGACCUCCACUGUUGCAAGACCUCUGAUGUUGAAGGAUGUCCAUUGUUUUAGGACAUUCCCUGUCAAAGAACCUCAACUGACACACAACCUCUGCUUUUGUAGGAUUUUCACUGUCCUAGAAAACCAAGUAUUGCAGGAAUUAUCAACUUGGAGCAACUGCAUUGUAUUAGGACAUUUACUCUUGCAGGACCUGCAGUGUGGUUGCACCUCCAUUUUAGCCAGGUCUCAACUGUACCAGGCUCAUCUCUGCUGAAUCAGCUCCUCCAACACUGCAGAACAUCCAAUAUUUCAGGUCCUCAAACAUCCCAGGACCCCAAUUGAUGGAGGACUUCCAACGUUGCAGGACCACAGUCACAGGUCCUCCACUGUCCCAUCACUUUUAUUUCUCCCAGCACCUCCACUGUCACAUGGCCUACAAUGUUACCUAACCUCCAAUGCCUGAGCAACUACACUGUCUCAGGACCUCGAUUGUUCCAGAACCUCCAAUGGUGCAGGACCUCCACUGUCACCAGAUCUCCACUGUCUCAGAGCAUCCACUCUAACACCGACUAGACUUUUGUAGAACCUCUCCUGGCAAAGCAUCUCCAUUGUUGCCGGCCUUACAUUGUCUCCAAACCUCCACUAUCACAGGAAUGCCACUGUUGUAGAACCUCCACCAUCACAGACCUCCACUGUUGGAGGACCUCCCCUGUCUAAACACAUCCACUAUUGCAGGACCUCCACUGUCCAAGGAAUUCCGCUGUUCCAGGACAUCCACUCUUGCAGCACCUGCAUUGUCUCUGGACUUCCACUGUACCAGUCCCAUCUCCAAUGUCUCAGGACCUCCACUCUUACAGGACCUCCAAUGUUCACAACCUCAAAUACAAAACUACACUAUCCCAGUGCCUCCACAGUUGCAGGCCCCAAACUGUCUCAGGAUCUGCACUGUUUCAUUAAUUCCCCUGUCCCUUUUUUGAAAGCAUUGCUGGUUAUUAGUUUUGAGGCUUAAUGGAAUGUGAUGGUAUUUUUGAAAAAAUAACAAUUUUUCCUGCACAUCUUGUGAUUAAUUACCAGAUGUGCUAGCAUCAGUUGCCCCUAGAGGGUUGCACGAGCCCACAGCCCUGUAGACCUCACCUUGUGGCAGCUGUUUUGUUUCGGGGUGUUACAGUCCAGAAGGCAUGCGGUCAGCAGGACAACUCUGUAGUCCGGGGUACACAUCAGUCACAUUGAGUCCUUGCUGGGAAAAGGAGAAAUCCAGAAGAGGGAGAAGGCGUGGGGAGGAGGAAGAAACAGACAGUACUUACAGAAGUUAAAUGGAAACUAUUUGCAGAAAUGGAAACCAGAGACACAGGAGGAAUCAGCACAGAGCAAACUGGGCAGGACAAGGCACAAAGGUACCUGGGCUGUGCCUGCCUGCUGCUUGUUCUUUGGAUGCUGUGUCUAUCCCUCAUUUCUCAGGACAGACACUGUCCUGUCCCAGGGGAGUUUUCUUGCAUGAUCGAACAAAAGAACACUGCUUCAUUUGGAUAUUCCUAAUUUCUUAGACCAUCUCUUAAAUCCUCUGGGCCAGGCCAUGCUGGGGACAGACUUGCCUACUCCAGAGGCACAGAGGGAUAAAAGCAAAGGGUGAUCCUCAUAGUGUUGGUUCUGUAUUUGCCCUAUAUCAACUUGGUUCAUAAGGCCAAAGACCAUGACUUUGACUUUUCCUUUCUUUUCCAAGAAAAUAUCAUGUAUUGUCUUCUGUGUUCUCAUUGCUGCUUCUGUUCUACCUGAGAUUGUUUGUUGACUGAAGGCAGCAGACACUCUAGCAUGUAUGCUUUUUCUAGCGUGGGUGUCAUCUGGAAUGCCUGGAGGAGAAGGCCAGUCUCAGUGGUUCUUAAUCCUCUAUGACUAGCAUUAUGGACAUAGGCAGAAACGAGGCCAGGGGGGAUGACAAGUCCAAUGUGCCAAUGGUGGGUUGAUUUCCACUCUAAAGUCCUAGUGGGAAAGCAGCAUAAUCAUAAGGGUAGGGAAUGGAGCCAGUCUGAGACUGGUUGUGAAGCCAGGCACUUGGAUAGCCUGCCCUUCCAGUAAGCAAUUGGAGGCCAUGGUCUGGUUAUACUAUCUUUGAUAUAAAGAUUCUUUAUAUCUUAGGCUUACAACUGAAUAUAUUUUAUUACUUUCCUCCCAUUCUUUGAAGCAGGAUUGCGUUAUUACAUCUGUGAUUGUCAGCUUACAUCUGGAGUUUACUGUUAGUAAUAGAAAAUUAUGAUGGUUGACCAUAAACAUUGACAAAGAAGAGUUCAAGGGCACCAAAAUUGUGAGCACCAUAGUGCCGGUUUAGCAUUUGCCCUGUUCAAUUGGGGUACUAUGGAUAAAGUUGCUGAUUGUGGCUUUUCCAUUGAAAUCCACCAUUAUAUUAUAUGGCUUCAGGUAGCUGUGAAACAUUGUGUGCCUAUGGCAGUAGAUCAUCACUGCUGUUCUUUGCAAAAUAUUUUCCUGACCUUGUCCUGUUCUAGGUAGCCAUACUUUUGGAUGAAUUUGGAAAGCUGUUGACCUUCAACAAGCUCCAUGAUGAGACAUAAUUUUGUUUUGCUCACAAUGACUUGAAGAAGUGAGAUCAUGUUGAGGUGGUCACCCAUCAUCAUCAAUGCCAUGGUCAUUACUGGCUGGCAUCAUUGCUUCUACAUUAGCAGGACUUUGAUGUCCACUAUGCAGCAACUCCACUGUGAUAGAUACUCUGCUGUCUAGGCAACUCCACUUUCUAAGGACUCCAAAUUUGAGGACAUCUACUAGCACAGGAUGUACACAUUUGCUGGACUUUCACUGUUGCAGCAACUCAACUCUUAAGGGAUGCCCACUGUUGCAGGUUUUCCAGUGUCUCAGCCCCGCCACUCUUGAAGGACCUUCACUAUUGUAGGACCUCCACUGUUGAAGCACAUCGAUUAUCUCACCAACUAGAAUUUAUAGGAUGUCAACUGGCACAGAAAGUCCACUGUUGCAUGACCACCAUUCUCACUGAAAAUCUACUGUCUCAGGACCUCUACCUUUGUAGGACCUCCAGUGUAGAAGGAUGUCCACUGUUGCAUGUCCACCGCUGUCACAGGACCUCCUCUGUCACAGGACUUCCACUCUUCCAGGCUCAUCUCCACUGUCUCAGGACUUCUACUAUAUCUCUAGGACCUCCAAUGACGCAGGACCUCAACUGACACUGGGCCUUCACUCUCCAAUCACCUUAACUAUCAAAGAACCUCCACUGUCUCAGGACCUUCACUGUUUCAGGACCUCCAAUGUUGGAGCAACUGUACUGCCUCAGGGGCAGGACCUCCAUUGUCACAGGGCCUCCCCUGUCACAGGAUAUCAACUCUUUUAGACUUUUACAGGAUUUCUGCUGGCACAUGACCUCCAUUGUUGAGGGUUCUCCACAGUUUCAUUACUUUUACAUUGAAAGGAAUACCAUUCUUGCAGAACCUCCACUGUCCCAGGACCUCCAGUAUUACGGACUUCCUCAGUCCAAGUAGCUCCAUUAUUGAAGGACAUUUCUGGUUGCAGGACAUCCACUUAUACAGUGCCUCCAUUGUUAUAGGACACCCACUGUUCCAGCCUAAUCUCCACUCUCUCAUUAUCUCCAAUAUUUUAUGAUUGCCAAUAAUGGUGGACUUCCAUUGUUACAGUAAUUCCACUAUCUCUGUGCCUACAUUGUUCCAGGACCUACACUGACUCAUGAUAGGCACAGCUGCAUCAAGUUCACUUUCAAUUUUUAUUGACAUUGCUAGCUAUUAUAUUUGACCCUUACUGGAAUGUGAUGUUACUAUGUGAUGUUACUUUUGAAAGCCCAAGAAUUUGUUUUUUUUUAGCACAUGUGACUGAUUUCCACAUGUUCUAGGACUGUUGUCCCCUGGAAGAUCACAAGAGCUCAUAUCCCUCUAUUCCUCACCUUGUGGGAGCUGUUGCCUUUCAGAGGGUAAUGCAAUUCAGGUGAAAGGAUAGGAUCAGCAAGUGAUAACUUUGUAGAGUGGGGUAUACAUCAGUCACAUUGAGUUCCUGAUGGGAAGAGGAGAAAUCCAGAACAGGAAUAACCCUUGGCAUAGAGGAAGAAUCAAACAGUACUUACAGAAGGGUUCUCUGGGUCAGAAAGGGCAGAGGGAACCACCCUGAAGAACUAGAAAGUUCAAGAGAACCAAGCAAGAAAGGUAAAGAUUCCUUAUGCCAUUGUUCACAAUGCAUGAACGAAGACUUAUGAUUAGUUAUUAUUAAAUUUGGCUCAUAAAAAGACUAUCUUUUCACAUGCUUAAACAAAGAGCAGAAUUUCAUCUUGAGUAGUCAAGGUAUUUUAUGUUAAACUGGUUCCCAAUUGGCUUAGCAAUCAAGCCUCAGGAUGCAGGGUAACAAGUGCAUAGAAGUAGCCAUAGGGACUGGGUGAAACUCUGAUGCCUGUGUUUAGCCAGACUUAGUGUGGGGUUAUUUUAAAAUUACAUGUAACAAAAAGUGCUUGAAAUAAACUAAAGUCAAAGUUAGGAAAAUAGAAUACAAAUUAUGGAAAAGAUAUCAGGGAAAAAGCUAAAGUCAAAAAUCCCAACUAAAAUCCAAACAAAUAACCCACCUUGUAUUCUGUUCAGAAAAGUCACGAAGCUCUCUAGAAGGAGACAAGACAGGAUGCAGCUGUUGGGCUAUCUCAGGCAAACUCUGCACCGGAGCACCUGUUCAAAGAGAUUAGAAUAUCAUUAUUGUAUCAUGGAUGUUUACUGGGAGAAUGGAAUGAUUUAACAGCUGAGUUGUGGAAUUCUAUAGAUCUAUAAAAUAACCUCUGCAGUGGAUAAUAUAAAGUUUGAAAUAUCUUCCAGCUUCAUUAAUCAGAACUAUAAAAUUUCAAUCUAGCCCAUGGAUGCUGAUGGUAACUGUCGCUUCUGUUUCCGACCCGCAGAAAAGAGCGACUACACAGCGUUCUUCUCAAAGCGGUUUAUUCAGGAACCUUACAACAUGCAAACAGGAAUCUUCUUUUCUUCUGUCUCCCUCCCAGCCCAGCCCCCGGAGCACACUCCCUUAUACCCUCCCUCAACUCCGCCUCCUCAGUCCAGACUGUGUAAUCUCAGUUCAUAGGUCCACGUCACAUGGCCUGAUCUUGCAUCAUGGUGCGCCUGCACAGCUCUCACAAUGGACGUGGCUAGUUUCAGGUGUGUGAGGAAGUCAGAUGCUAGUCACGAGACUUAGCUGCAGUCCCAGGCGCCAUCUUGGGACUACCGCCACACCCGCUCCCCACAGGUAACUGUGAUUUCAAGGUCAUUUCCAAUCAUCUAUGUUAAGUGUUUUGACUCAAGGAAACUGGCAUUGCCAUAGAUGAAAUCAGUUAAAGGCAUAUUUAUUUCUUCUUUGCCACAUAACUAGACAAAUGUCAGUUCAAAAGUUGCGAUUAUUGAGUGUACUUUUUUCAUCUCAGUUACUUUAUGUAUUUUUCAUUUAUUUAAAUUUCCAUACAUGUAUACAGUAAAAUAUGGUCAUAUCCACCCUAACAUCUGUCCUCCAACUUCUAAAAGAUCCCUCUCAGAAUUCCCCGUUUGACUUUACAGCCCUGGUUGGUCUGGGACUUGCUGUGUAAAUCAGAUUAGCCUAGAACUCACAGAGGUCCACCUGAAUCUGAUCCUGGGCUUAAAAGUCAGCACCACUAAACCAUUCCUCUGUGUGUGUGUGUGUGUGUGUGUGUGUGUGUGUGUGUGUGUGUGUGUGUGUGUACGGAAAUAUACAUACACACAUUUUUUGUAUCCCAGUAAGCCCUAUUAGUGCUAGUCAUACAUGCAUACUGUGUGUACAGACAUUCACUGCAUUAUCAGAGUCCUACCAGUCGCUUGUCCCCAAGGAAGAGUGAAUUUCUAUCAGCUGUUGUUAACUGCAGCUCCUCAUUUGAUGCAUGGGCUUAUAAGUUCUUCUCCCACCCAUGCACGAUGUGCAAACAAAUGACACAGCCACCUCUGUCACUUUACUCGGUUAACAUAUACUAAUAAAAUGUUAUGGUAUUUUCAAAUUUAUAUGUAUAUGUAUUGUAUAUGUAUAAUGACACAUUGUAUAUACUUGUAAUGGCUAUUCUUGGUUGUGAACAUGACUAUAUGUGGAAUGAACUUCAAUCCAGAAUUGGAAAGCUCACCUUUGAUCCUGAUUUGAGGCUGGGAGACACAAAUUUCUGAACUGAAUCUUGGCAUGGAGAUCAUGAGGCAAAGUGGCUGUGAAUCUCAGGAGUUUAAGACAAGGAGAUCUCUGAGUUCAAGGUCACCUAGGACAAAGCAAGUCCCAGUUCCAGCUGUGGUGGUACACACCUUUAAUCUGGGACACACCUUCUGCUGGAGAUUUAUAUAAGGACAUUGGAAGAAGGAAGAGUCUCUCUUUCGUCUGCCUGCCUGAUUUGUAGGACCCUACUCCCUACUGCAGGGGAGAAAAUGGACCAUUCUCAUCAAUGAAAAAGGUUGGACAACUAGGUGCCCAUGACCAACUCCUCAUUGUGGAUGGAUUUAGUCUGGUUGGACUUUCUCAGGAAAGGGCAGCAGAACUCAUGACUAGUACCAGUCCCAUGGUUACCCUGGAAGUUGCAAAUCAAGGCAUCCUCUCUCACUGCCUGUCCACCUUUCUUACCCAGCCAUUGUCCUCCAUGGUGCAGAGAGUUAAGAGCUAGUGACUCAAGCCAGGCUGGUCAAAGAAUGUAUAUAAAAGAUCACCCUAUUAUACAACAGCAGUUAUUAAAUAUAAGAAUUUUAGAUGCAUCCUUUGAAGCUCUUCAUCUUGGAAAGAACGAGGGAGAGAGAAUGAAUGAAUUGGCUUUGGUUUCAGUUUCAGAUCGUUAUGGCUCAGGAAGAGUUUUACCAACUUGAGCUGCAUUGAGUAGUGGCCAGCAUGGAUCUCUAGUGUGACAAUGAUAUGUGGAUCCAGAGCUCCUCAGUGGACUCUAUGACAUCCAGCCAGGAGCACCUGAAAUAUUCCUCCAAGUCAGUUACCCCUGCUUCCAGUCUACCAAGAGUGGUCCUGGCCAUUGGAAAACCCCAGCAGAGGUGCUGCCCACCCCUGUGACUGUCUCCCAGCCCAUAUGAACAGACCUCCCUCCACCACCUCCUCCACCACAUGUCCACCUACACCAGUGGUUUUGAUGGCAUUUCAGUGGCUUUGCCCCUCCCACCACCUUCUGCAAACAAGGCAGGAUCCCAGUCUGCUCAGGUGGCUGCUGGCUAGCAAAAAAGAAGGAGGAGCAGCAGUGGUGGUCUGAGAUAUAGAAGGCCUGCCUGGAUAAGGAAGCAGAGAGGAAGCACGGGGAGCAGGAGUAGAAUCUGGGGCAGAUGGACUCUCAUUCCCUGAUCCCUGCUUCCUUAUCUCUUUUGGCCACACCAGCCCAACCAGGAAAACCUUCCACACUGCAGAGGCCCCAAGAAACAGUUACUCUGAAGCUGUAGUCCCCAGCAGCAGCCCCAACUAUUGAGUACAGGAACCUGCAGUAGAAAACUAUCAGUAAAGAGGAGUUGUCCUGUGGGGAUAGUCUGUCUCCAGACCCAUGGAAACAAGAUACCAGGGAGAAGCUGGAGAAGCAACAGCAAAUGCACCUUGUGGACAUGCUAAGCAAGGAGAUCCAUGAGCUGUAAACUAAGGGGGACGGUAGUGCAGAGGAGAGUGACUGCCUGUGGAAGCUUAUGCUGGAGUGGCUGUUUUGGAAGAGACUUCAGGCUAUAUUUCUUGUGUUUCUCCCAGGUUCAUUUCUUGAACCUGUUCUUGAAAACUGUUCAAGCAGCCCAACAUUUGACAUUUUCAAAGUAGAAAUUCAUAACAACUAUGUUUUUGACAUUCUGGCCUUAGAUAAUUCUACAGUGAUGUCUAUGGUUAAGUGCCAGGCAGUGAGAACCCAGGAGUGACGAUCAGAGGUACACAGGAUGACCUGAAGGUGAGGUGCUCCUGGGGCCCAGUGUCCUGAGUGCAGGUCCUCAACCUUACAGCUGCCCACUCCAGCUGUGCCUGGGAUGGAGCCAGUGCUACCGACCUAGGAAGCAGCUCAGGGACUGUGCUUACUAUGUUCCCCAUUGGUUCAGUUCAUGACAAGGUUAAUCUGAAGUAACAGCAGGAAUUUUAGCCCGCUGGAAUUCUGUAUCUGAGAAAGUACAUGUCUUUAGGAACAUCAAGAUGCUCACGUCUAACACGUUUCAGCUUUAUAUGUCACAGAUACCAUAAUAAAGCUGUUUAUAACCUUUUUCUGUUUGGGGUAGCUCAAGGGUAGAAUGUCCUGACCCUGAGUAUUAUAUCUAAUUACCCAGAGAGAGAGAGAGACAGGAAGGAAGGGAGGGGGAGAGGGAGGGACAGAGAGAGGGAGGGAGAGAGAGAGAACAAGAGAGAGGGAGAGAGAGAGAGAGAGAGAGAGAGAGAGAGAGAGAGAGAGAGAGGAACAAAAAGUUUGUAAAAAUAAGCAAAACUUAAAAAUAUAUAAAUAACUGUAUAAUUAUUAAAAGUCUAUAUGAGAGUCAAUGUUUAUCACCCAAAAUUGAGGAAGGGGCUUGGAGAAACGAAUUAUCCGCAUCCAACCUCCAAAAACACACACACUCAAUCAACAACACGUCUGAUUAUACCUGGAAAUACCCAUAUUUUAUAGAAUGCCAUAAUGGAAAGUGAGAAGCAUCAUUUUCGAUAAGGGUUGCCAAUAUGUUCUUUUUCCAAGGUGUGUGCAGCCGUGCCAGUCUUCCUCACCACGGGAUGGAAGAGGUCCCUGACCUGUGAGCCUAGAGGUGACCAGGGGAUCUUUGCUCCAUUCUGAGACUGAGAGGCAGGAUGCCCACUCAAGGGUCCAUAGCAGGGAAGGUUUUCAAGCUAUGUGCAGUGCUGGAAAAGCCUACACAAGGCAUACAGUUAGCAGUGAUGUGUUUGCAGGGAGUCCAAGGAACCAGCUUUUUACUGAUGCAGGUGGGCAAGCAUUUAUCAUCCACCUGCCACUCUGACAGCAAUAAGAGUAUUGCUUAAGUUUUGUUUCAUAGAUUUGAUCACUGAAAAAAUACCAAAAAUUGGACCCUUAACGUUGUAGCAAAUAGAAUAGUGGAUGCUAAGACAGGGACCUUUGACUCUUCUAACACCAUUGUCUAUUUCAGAGCAAGAAAGGAAAGGUAUCAAUGGACAACAGUCUGCUUCCCCCAUGAGUGCUCUACCACUGAGUUAGUAGCCUUAGCCCUCCUCACCUUUAGAUAAAGGGUGUCACUAAGUUGUCCAAGCAGACCUGAAACUCAUGCUGUAGACCAGGCUAGCUUUGAACUUCUGAUCCCCCUACCUACUGUGUGUCUUGAGUGUCUGGGAUUACAGGCCCAUUUCUCUACAGCUGAGCAGCUUGCUUGUUUGCUUCCUCCUUUCUUUACUCCUCCUCCUCUACCUCUUCCUCCUCCUCCUCCUGCUCCUCCUCCUCCUCCCUCUCUCUUUCUGUCUCUUUCAUUCUUUCUUUCCUUUCAUUCAUUCUUUCUUUCAUUCUUUAUCUUUCUUUUCUUCUUUCUUUCAUUCAUUUGUUCCUUUCUUUUAAGAUUCAUUUACUUUAGUGCUCUAUCUGCAUGUAUAUCUGUGUGUCCAAAGAGGGCAUCAGAUCUAAUAAUACAUAGUUAGUAUCUAUGAUAUGGUGACUGGAAUCGAACUCAAGACCUUUGAAAGAGCAGCCAUGCUCUUAACCACUGAGCCUGCUCUCCAGCCCCAGCCUAUUUUCUUAAACUUACCACACUUGGUUCACAUGAGAAUUGUCUGUAAGAUGAGUAAGGUAAGGUUACCCUGAGCGCAGAGUGCUUAUCCCUUGUCAGAUCAUCCAGGGGGUUACCUCUGACUCAUGCUGUCCUUUUCCAGGUCUGUCACCAGUGCCCUGGAGUUUGUGGGCCUCAUCCACAGAGGUAUGCAACUCAGAGAACAUGGCCCCUAAGGCUACACCCACAUUGUAAAAGCCAGCGAUGUCAAUCACAGCAGGUUAGAUGUCAGCCAACAGAGUCAUGCAGUUUGACCACAUGAGACUCACCCUAGGACUUAAAUGCAGUGCGUUCAAGUUCUCACAUGCUAUGCUGGACAGCUGCUCUGGGCCUCCACAUCAUAAGCCAGAGUGCAGAGCCCUGGGCACAGCAGGACACACAGGCUAGUUUUCACUCCUAUGGAAAGCCAGUAUAGAUGGACAUUCUCCAUCUUGCUACAGUGACACUUCUGUAAGGGACGAGACUGCUUAGGGCAGCAUUGUCUGUUUAGUAGGCACAUCCACCUCCAGGACUUGCCCCCUAUGGACAGUGCUUGAGCAAAGCCUGCCUCAUGGUGCUUAGGGAGUCUCAGUUGUCUGCCAAUGGAUUCCCAGACAUUCAGCUCUGUCUGAUGAUUGACAGACCUUUGUGACCCUUCUGUUUUCCACUCUCCGGACCACAGCCCCAAAGUCCAGCCAAGCUGACCUUCACGAGAAAGCAAGGGCAGGUAUUUGUGGAUUACCACUGCACUGGGCUUCAUCUCCAGUGGACCCACCCGACCAUGCUGGGCAGCUCCUGGGGGCAGGUUUCAGCACAUGGACUGGGCCAGCAGUGUGUAUGCAGGUGAACGGGGGACGACAUCUGCCCAGUCAAGAAUGCCAGAGUCAUCAAAGGGCAACACAGUAGAGAGAGCUUGUGAACUGUCAACAGAAGGCCAUGUUAUACCCCAUGAUGGGCCUUAUGUUGUUCUGUGUCUAGAAAAAGGGUUACCUGCAGUUAAAAGGACUGUGGUAUCCAACAAGGGACCUCAAUGACUACCAGGCCAUGGUGCCUCUCUGGGAAGUGGGUGGGUCCCAUGGUCCCUCCCAAGAACCACCUCUGUUUGCCUGUUCCUGUCUGGAUAGCAUGCUCACAAGCGACUGGACUGCUUACUUUACAGCUGUGUCUGUGGUGACUGGGUUUGCCCUGAAGGAGGCCUUCUUUAUCAAUUAGAGUCUGGCUGUCCUAGCAGAUGCCCUUGUGGCCUUGUCAGAGCACUGUGACCACAUCCCACAUCUGAACAGCAAGCUAAUCAACAGGAUGCUCUAGGAGUCCAUCAGUUUGUCUUCCUCAGAGACCCCAAAAUACAGGGGGCAGAGAGCUGGGCUUUAGGGAGCUACCACAGGCAUGAUUGCUCUUUUUUGUAAGCCGCACCACCUUUGGCCGAGUUACAGUUCUGCCAGGCCCUCCCAUGUUCUGUCUUCAGCAUCUUUGUGUGUCAAUGCAGCUUACACUGUGUAUUAACUGUGCUGCACGUUGGCCUAUAGGCUGGGCUUUCCUCUUGAUUUUCCAGCAAGACCACAGAGUUCCCGGGGGAGACUCUCAUAAUGGCUCUCCAUAUUCUGACAGGCACAGUCUGUGGAUGUCUCUAAGGUGUUGGAGAUCGGACCCCACUGAGGUUUGAGAGGCUUUCAGUGGCUUAUAGACCCAAGGCUUGGGCAUGAUGGCUUUUUUUUUUUGGUUCUUUUUUUCGGAGCUGGGGACCGAACCCAGGGCCUUGCGCUUCCUAGGUAAGCGCUCUACCACUGAGCUAAAUCCCCAGCCCCGCAUGAUGGCUUUUAUUGUGUGUUUGGUAGCAUGUAUGCCCUGCUGCAAGUGUAGACAGACACUCCCCAUGCUUAUAGUCCCUGCUUGGAGUGUGGGUACACUCUGUCCAUGCAGACAGCUGUCUCCGCACACACAGAUGCCAUUUUCAUGAUUUACGCCUGUCAUCUUUGAUGUUUCUUUUAAUAGGCAGUCAUGUAAAGUCACUAUGAUUUUGUGGUGACUUUCUUUCCC